rnacentral:rRNA from 1 species
AAACACGAGAGUGCCUUCGGGAGCCCGAAGACAGGUGCUGCAUGGCUGUCGUCAGCUCGUGUCGUGAGAUGUUCGGGUUAAGUCCGCUAACGAGCGCAACCCUCGCUGUGUGUUAUAUGUGUCACACGGGACUGCCGGUCUUAAGCCGGAGGAAGGUGGGGAUGAUGUCAAGUCAGCAUGGCCUUUAUAUCCUGGGCUACACACACGCUACAAUGGCCAACACAAUAGGUUGCUAAGCCGCGAGGUGGCGCCAAUCCAUAAAGUUGGUCUCAGUUCAGAUUGUAGGCUGCAACCCGCCUGCAUGAAGAUGGAGUUGCUAGUAACCGCAGGUCAGCUAUACUGCGGUGAAUACGUUCCCGGGGCUU